AUUGAACGCUGGCGGCAUGCCUAACACAUGCAAGUCGAGCGGUAGAGCGAAGCUUGCUUCCCUUGAGAGCGGCGGACGGGUGAGUAAGGCCUAGGAAUCUGCCUUGUAGUGGGGGAUAACGUUCGGUAACGGACGCUAAUACCGCACACGACCUACGGUAGAAAGCAGGGGACCUUCGGGCCUUGCGCGAUCAGAUGAGCCUAGGUCGGAUUAGCUAGUUGGUGGGGUAAUGUCUCACCAAGGCGACGAUCCGUAACUGGUCUGAGAGGAUGAUCAGUCACACUGGAACUGAGACACGGUCCAGACUCCUACGGGAGGCAGCAGUGGGGAAUAUUGCGCAAUGGGCGAAAGCCUGAUGCAGCAAUGCCGCGUGUGUGAAGAAGGUCUUCGGAUUGUAAAGCACUUUUAUUUGGGAGGAAGAGCAGUAAAUUAAUACAUUGCUGUUUUGACGGUACCGACAGAAUAAGCACCGGCUAACUCUGUG
rnacentral:rRNA from 1 species